rnacentral:rRNA from 1 species
UACGUAGGGUGCGAGCGUUGUCCGGAAUUACUGGGCGUAAAGAGCUCGUAGGUGGUUUGUCGCGUUGUUCGUGAAAACUCACAGCUUAACUGUGGGCGUGCGGGCGAUACGGGCAGACUGGAGUACUGCAGGGGAGACUGGAAUUCCUGGUGUAGCGGUGAAAUGCGCAGAUAUCAGGAGGAACACCGGUGGCGAAGGCGGGUCUCUGGGCAGUAACUGACGCUGAGGAGCGAAAGCGUGGGGAGCGAACAGG